CCCUUAGAUGUUCUGGGCCGCACGCGCGCUACACUGACUGACUCAACGAGUGUACAACCUGCUUCGACAGAAGUGGGUAAUCUCCAAAUUUCGUCGUGAUGGGGAUAGAUUAUUGCAAUUAUUAAUCUUCAACGAGGAAUGCCUAGUAAGCGCAAGUCAUCAGCUUGCGUUGAUUACGUCCCUGCCCUUUGUACACACCGCCCGUCGCUCCUACCGAUUGAAUGGUCCGGUGAAGCGUUCGGACCGUGGCCUUUGGACGGUUCGCCGUCUGUUGGCUGCGGGAAGUUCGUUAAACCUUAUCAUUUAGAGGAAGGAGAAGUCGUAACA
rnacentral:rRNA from 1 species